CACGGAGGGAGCGAGCGUUGUUCGGAAUUACUGGGCGUAAAGGGCGCGUAGGCGGCCUGAACAGUCCCGUGUUAAAUUCCCACCGCUUAACGGGGGACCAGCACGGGAUACUAUCUGGCUUGAGGACGGAAGAGGCGAGUGGAAUUCCCGGUGUAGCGGUGGAAUGCGUAGAUAUCGGGAAGAACACCAGUGGCGAAGGCGACUCGCUGGGCCGUCCCUGACGCUGAGGCGCGAAAGCGUGGGGAGCAAACAGGAUUAGAUACCCCCGUA
rnacentral:rRNA from 1 species